UUAGUCACUGAUAACCCCUCUCCCCUCCUGGUCUUGAGCAGGGAAGAGCAAAAAAAACCCAGCAGCAGAUUGCGGGCAGAUCGAUCUCUGGGGUUUCAUUCAGUCCCCAUCAAUGGACAGUUUCUCCCCUGUCGCCGCGGGUCGGAAUUCCCACGAGAUUCUCAGCCAGCGGCGACCUGCUCUUUUUCCCUCCCCCUCUCUCCCUGCGAGAAGAAGCAGAAGGGUAGGAAGCAGAGGUGCCGGAUUCGUUACCUUCGCUGUCGCGAGCGCACGAAAUGGCCGAGCCUCAUCUAGUGUUGGGAAAGAGGUAGUUACUAAACAGCUUUUUGCUAGCGUUUCGUCUUCUGGCAACAACCAGAUGACAACUGGUAGCGCAGUUGCCCCAGUUGCAGUGCCUUCAUCAUCGUCAUCCAUCUACGUCCUGUAGGAUUUUUCCUUAUGUUUGAAAUUGAGCCCCUAUUACUCAUUUGCCCAUGGUUUGAACUAAAAACUUCUUCAUUCUUAUUGACAUGGGUGGACUUGUUUGUGUUUGCAUAUAUGUUUAUGAUACUCGUGUGACUCAUCACCCCCCUUUAAUCUCCCUUGGAAACCGUAGAGGUUCACCACUGUUUUGGGUUGGAAUUGGAGUGGGACUGUCAGUCAUAUUUCAAGCGGUUGCAAAUAGAUUGAAGGUGAGUGGCUUCCCUGGUUUUGUACCCGUUUUGUAAGAUUAUUUCUAUCCUUAAGAAUCUUAUUCUUGAUUGGAAGUACUUGAUGUUUGAAAUUUUAUUUCUAGAUUGCAUAAAGCUUUGGAAAUUAGAUUCACAUGUUGUCAUUAGUUUGUGAAACUACUCUAUUGGAGGUUCUUAUGGUAAGAACAAGUUGAUCAUCCUAUCCUCAGAAAGGUUUUACACAUUUUUUCACCAUUUUUAAUUGAACAAGAAAACACUCAUAUCAGAAAACAAUUAGGUGUAGCUUGCAAUAGGUUCGGAGGAUAUUUUCAUCUUCAAAGGUGACCAGUAGACUCUAUAAUUAGAAGAGUUCUAUCAAUUAGAAUGAAAAUGUAAGGGGUAGAAGCUGACCGAAAAACAUUAGUCAAUGUAAUAAUCUAAUAUAGACUGUGUUGAUUGAUUAGUAUAUUACUAAUAAUA